rnacentral:tRNA from 1 species
CCCUGGUUAGCUCAGUUGGUAGAGCGCUCCACUUGUAAUGGAGAGGUCCCGGGUUCGAUACCCGGACUAGGUG